CUUUCUGCCAAACCUGAACAGGAUUAGCCUUGUUGUUGCCUAAUUAAGCAGAUUCAACAGUGUUUGUCUUUUCUGCUCAGUUAGUGGUGACUUACAUUAACUAGCCUGUUUAAAACGUGUUUGUUUGCGUCCUGUUUGAAACCGAUUGCUUGGCCUCCUGUAUUGCUGCUUGUAUCUUUCUUAACUACAUUUUUCAUCAACGGUGCUGUCUCGUCAUUUUUAUCGCUAACGAAUUUAACACUUCAGCAGAGGUAUUCAUUUCCAAACAGGCUUUAGUGGCUUGAUGGCUUUAAAGUUAAAGUAUGGAUUUAAUUUGCUGACAGUAAUGAUAUUAGCGUUAGAAGUUAGCAGCACACCUAAACAACUGGACCCAGGGAGAGUCGCCUGAGUGAGACGGAGGAAGACAUCUCUCUUUGCAGUGUUUCCAGCAGCAGCACCUGAAGAAUCUGCAAUUGACAUGCUGCGACGGUCCACUACAUUGUGCGACGUUUCCGAGAGGCAGCAACUGGCAACUGUAAAGGAAUUCUAGGUUUGCCGAUGGAGACAGAUGGCGUGGGGCCCCAUGGCCUCGGCCCCUGCAGAUUGAUUAUUGAUCGGGAAGACAGAGAUGGAUCGAGGGGUGGAGAGGACACCGAGGAGCGGGGAGACAGCUGUGGACGGGAGGCGAAGGAGUGGGAGGAUUUCAAGGAAUUUAUGUUUUAAGAGUGGGGCUAAAGGAUGGGGAGAGGAGGGAGAAGAGGCUGAGGAUGCGGGUACAGCAAAGGUUUUCUUUUGCUCAGCCAUCACCUUGAGAGGGAGCUAUUGACUAGGCUCCAGAUUUAUAACCAAAAUCCAAAGUGUUUUGGAUUCUGUUUAGGAUUUCAAAGUUAUUGCUCAUUUAUUGUCAAUGAAUGUCCCACGCUCACUUUAAAUAGAUAUUAAUCAUUGCUAUGGGUGCAAAUGCUGCAUAUCUAAAAAAGCAAACGUUUCAUGAAUGAAGAAAAAGAACUUUAUGUUGAGACUUGGGGGUAUGCAGGUUGAAUUUAAGGGGUCACAUGAUUCAUUUUGCAGAUAAAGAAUCAUCUAAACUUUCUGUUGAUAAAUGAAAACUAUACAGUAGCAAAGUCACA